rnacentral:rRNA from 1 species
GGGGGACCUUCGGGCCUCUUGCCAUCGGAUGUGCCCAGAUGGGAUUAGCUAGUAGGUGGGGUAACGGCUCACCUAGGCGACGAUCCCUAGCUGGUCUGAGAGGAUGACCAGCCACACUGGAACUGAGACACGGUCCAGACUCCUACGGGAGGCAGCAGUGGGGAAUAUUGCACAAUGGGCGCAAGCCUGAUGCAGCCAUGCCGCGUGUAUGAAGAAGGCCUUCGGGAUGCAAUGUACUUUCAGCGGGGAAGAAGGGAGU